CGACCGGCGCACGGGUGAGUAACACGUAUCCAACCUGCCGAUGACUCGGGGAUAGCCUUUCGAAAGAAAGAUUAAUACCCGAUGGCAUAGUUCUUUCGCAUGGUAGAACUAUUAAAGAAUUUCGGUCAUCGAUGGGGAUGCGUUCCAUUAGCUUGUUGGCGGGGUAACGGCCCACCAAGGCAUCGAUGGAUAGGGGUUCUGAGAGGAAGGUCCCCCACACUGGUACUGAGACACGGACCAGACUCCUACGGGAGGCAGCAG
rnacentral:rRNA from 1 species